rnacentral:misc_RNA from 1 species
GAUGAAGAACGUAGCGAAAUGCGAUAAGUAAUGUGAAUUGCAGAAUUCAGUGAAUCAUCGAAUCUUUGAACGCACAUUGCGCCCGCCAGUAUUCUGGCGGGCAUGCCUGUUCGAGCGUCAUUACAACCCUCAGGCCCCCGGGCCUGGCGUUGGGGAUCGGCGGAAGCCCCCUGCGGGCACAACGCCGUCCCCCAAAUACAGUGGCGGUCCCGCCGCAGCUUCCAUUGCGUAGUAGCUAACACCUCGCAACUGGAGAGCGGCGCGGCCACGCCGUAAAACACCCAACUUCUGAAUGUUGACCUCGAAUCAGGUAGGAAUACCCGCUGAACUUAAGCAUAUCAAUAAGCGGA